rnacentral:rRNA from 1 species
AUUGAACGCUGGCGGCAGGCUUAACACAUGCAAGUCGAGCGGGGUGAUGGUGCUUGCACUAUCACUUAGCGGCGGACGGGUGAGUAAUGCUUAGGAAUCUGCCUAUUAGUGGGGGACAACAUCUCGAAAGGGAUGCUACUACCGCAUACGUCCUACGGGAGAAAGCAGGGGAUCACUUGUGACCUUGCGCUAAUAGAUGAGCCUAAGUCGGAUUAGCUAGUUGGUGGGGUAAAGGCCUACCAAGGCGACGAUCUGUAGCGGGUCAGAGAGGAUGAUCCGCCACACUGGGACUGAGACACGGCCCAGACUCCUACGGGAGGCAGCAGUGGGGAAUAUUGGACAAUGGGGGGAACCCUGAUCCAGCCAUGCCGCGUGUGUGAAGAAGGCCUUAUAGUUGUAAAGCACUUUAAGCGAGGAGGAGGCUCUUUUGGUUAAUACCCAAGAUGAGUGGACGUUACUCGCAGAAUAAGCACCGGCUAACUCUGUGCCAGCAGCCGCAGUAA